AACAGCACAGCCUUCUUCCCAUUCCUGGCUCUCUGUCAAUUCCAGUACUAGAUUCUGUGCUAUUUCCUGUGCUGUGAGUUUGAAUUUCUAAGCAGCAAAGAUGAACAAGGAUGGAUUUGACAAUGCCUUUGAUUGACCUCGCAGCUGCUCAACACGCAAAGAUAUUUUGCUGCUAAAAAUAGUUGGAGUCGGGAGGAGGAGGACUGGGGCAUAACCGUCAGCAGCUGCAGCUCGGAGAAGCUAGUUCUCUCGUCUUCAAGAAGGCCGAUCUCUUCCCUAGCCUGCUGAACCUUCUGUGUUUUGGGGAAGGUUUGUAUUCUUUCUUCCUCAGGAUUAUGGUCCUGAGAAAGUGUCUUCUAGUUCUCAUCAGGACUAGGAUUGAGGACCAGCCCUGGGUCAAAAACAUAGGAUAUGGGUGAGCACACAGUGGAGCACUGAGCAGUCAGGACUGAGUCACCAGACAGUCCCUGAGCCAUAGAAGGCUGCUGCUGGGGAGGAAGCAGACGGAGGUGCAAUGAAGGUGAGUGUGCCACGCUAGAGUCAAGCGCCUUCGUCAAGAUUUAAGGAGAGGGGGAGUGAAGGACUGGAGUAGAAACCAUAGGUACAGACAUGAAGAAGGUAAGGCCAUUACAGUCUAAGGAGAACAGCGGAGGUUUAAAACCCCUCGCAGGUCUCAGUGGAACUCCUUCCCCAACUCACAGAUUAGCUUCUUUUUACCAACUCAGCUUCCUUUCCUGAUAAGCCCAGUCACCAUGUAGACUCUGUCAGAAUUUAAUGCACUCUUUAAACCAGUGGGUCUCAGUCUCAUUAGAAUCAUGUGGGAAGCUUUGUUAAAAAGAAAAAAAAAGAUGCCUGGGUUCUACUCACCUAGGUCAACAGAAUCAGAAUCUCUAGGGAGGCGGAGGUGGCAUAGGGUUGGUGGAGUUGGGCCCAGGCAUAUGUGAUUUCUUUAGAAGUUCACCGUGUGAUUCUGAUGCCCAGUGAGGGUCAAGAACCAUUGCCUUCAGCACUCUUACUUUGAGUAAACAGGAUCAUUCCCCGCUUUUGAGAUUUAAAAUUUUAGAAUGCUGUAGCUAGAUGAUAGUUUGUGGCAGUGUUUCUCAAAUUUUCUUGUGCAUGUGAAUCACCUGGGGAUCCUGUUAAAAAGCAGAUUCUGGUUUAGGUGGCUGGAAGUGGGGCCUAAGCUGUGGCAUUUCUCACUCAUGUCCAUGUGACAUGGGAGCUGCUGGAGUGAGGACCACCUUGAUUGCAGUGGAGCUUUAGAUCGAAUACAGAUGGAAUGCUGCCUCUGUGCCAGACCCUGUGCUUAGUGCUGUACAUUCAUUGCAUUCUCACAAGCCUCUGAAAGAGGUACUGUUUAUAAUUCCAUUUUACAGGUGAGUAAACUAAGGCCUAGAUAAGUUAAGCAUCUUGCUCAGGAUCAUAAUGCUGGUAAGUAAUAGAGGCAGAAUCUGGAUCUAGAUGGUCUGAUUCCAGAAACUGUGAGCUGAACCACAAUGUAAUACCACUUCAAAGGCAGGAUGGGGCUCAGGGGAGUACCUGCAGUUGAAGCUGU